rnacentral:rRNA from 1 species
CCUACGGGCGGCAGCAGUGGGGGAUAUUGCACAAUGGGGGAAACCCUGAUGCAGCGACGCCGCGUGAGUGAAGAAGUAUUUCGGUAUGUAAAGCUCUAUCAGCAGGGAAGAAAAUGACAGUACUUGCCCAAGAAGCCCCGGCUAACUACGUGCCAGCAGCCGCGGUAAUACGGAGGGGGCAAGCGUGAUCCGGAUUUACUGGGUGUAAAGGGAGCGUAGGCGGUUAUGUAAGUCUGGAGUGAAAGCCCGGGGCCCAACCCCGGAACUGCUUUUGAAACUGUGUAACUGGAGUACAGGAGGGGUAGGCGGAAUUCCUGGUGUAGCGGUGAAAUGCGUAGAUAUCAGGAAGAACACCGACGGCGAAGGCAGCCUGCUGGACUGAAACUGACGUUGAGGCUCGAAAGCGUGGGGAGCAAACAGGAUUAGAUACCCGGGUAGUC